rnacentral:rRNA from 1 species
AGGAAUCUGCCCGGUAGUGGGGGAUAACUUGAGGAAACUCAAGCUAAUACCGCAUACGCCCCAAGGGGGAAAGCAGGGGAUCUUCGGACCUUGCGCUAUCGGAUGAGCCUAUGUCGGAUUAGCUAGUUGGUGAGGUAAUGGCUCACCAAGGCCGCGAUCCGUAGCUGGUCUGAGAGGAUGAUCAGCCACAUCGGGACUGAGACACGGCCCGAACUCCUACGGGAGGCAGCAGUGGGGAAUAUUGGACAAUGGGCGAAAGCCUGAUCCAGCCAUGCCGCGUGUGUGAAGAAGGCCUUCGGGUUGUAAAGCACUUUCAGCGAGGAAGAACGCUUGUGGGUUAAUACCCCGCAAGAAGGACAUCACUCGCAGAAGAAGCACCGGCUAACUCCGUGCCAGCAGCCGCGGUAAUACGGAGGGUGCAAGCGUUAAUCGGAAUUACUGGGCGUAAAGCGCGCGUAGGCGGCUUGAUAAGCCGGUUGUGAAAGCCCCGGGCUCAACCUGGGAACGGCAUCCGGAACUGUCAGGCUAGAGUGCAGGAGAGGAAGGUAGAAUUCCCGGUG